GUAUUUUACAGCCGUGCAUCGUUUGUGUGUUUGCAAAACAGUGAUAUUGUCCUGGAAAGUAAGAAGUAAAAAUGUCGACACCCGCAAAGCAUUUGUUUUGUGACCAAAAUAUGGUGGAAUCGCAAAAUGAACCGCUGGAACCUGCUGUGCCAGUUAUAGUGCAUGGACCAACUGUUAUGCCCUUAUCGAGCGUACCAACUGGCCGACCAAGAUGCAAAGUGAAUCGAGCUAAUCGAGAAUCAUCCGUAACAAGUGUUGCUGAAGUUGUGUCUCCUGUUACUACGCAUUCUAUCGGUAACAUAUACGGAAUGCAGCCAUCGACGUCGGCAAUCAAUGUGAAUUCUGCUGCCUCAUCCGUUGUUCCUUCGAUUAAUUUGAAUACGGCAGCUUUGCUUCCUUCUGGGACCGUGAUCCGGAUGUAGCAGAUUUACUGCUAACAGUAGGUCACAUCUAACUUAGCAUUGCCAAAAGCCAGGUAAAAAGACGUUAACCACCAGAAGCGCAAGCGCAUAGCCAGCAGCCAAGUAAAGAAACAUUAAACACCAGAAGCGUAAACGUUCUCGUGUUUUACCCCAGAACAUAAAUAAGGAAAACGCGCCACAGAUAAGCAAUUAAACUUCCGUAAAACCCAGGCAUAAACAGGAAAACGUUCGCUACAUCCACAAUGCACGGAUAGUUGAUAAAACACAGGCACACUAGGUAUAAUUUAAGAAACACCUGUAAAAAACCCAAACCCGGAAAACCAAGCGAAAGCUCACAUUUGACAAACAUCUGGUUGCCAAAUGUGUCACAACUUUCACACCAUAUUUGUUAUAAAUAAAGCUCGAACUGAUGGAGAAGUCAGUUCACCUUCCAUAGACACGUA